GCACGCAUCAAAGGAGAUCGGGUACCAAAAUACCGAGGCAGAACGUAUUAUAAUACUAUAAAUCCAAUUUCGUUGUUCGGGAUAACAAUUUUUAGAAGCCCCUAUCUUGGCUAUACCUCAGUUCCAAAAAGCUCUCGCUCAACAGCCGCCGCGCCAUACCUAAACCCUGACCCUUGCCCCUGUCGUCCCCGCCGUCCCCGCCACCGGCCUCGCGCAAUAGCCGCUGCACAUGCCAGCCCUCGCGCCAUCUCCGCCACCGACCUCGCGCAACAGCCGCUGCGCCAUCCCGACCCUGACCCUUUCCCCUUUCGUCCCCACCACCGACCUCGCGCCCGCGGCAUCCGCGCCCGGCUGUUGCGGGCGGCGUCGUCCCAUCCGAAUCUCCCCCCUCUCCCUCAGAUAUAAAGGUUCGUCCUCCUCAGCACUGUCUCGAUUCGUUGAGGGUUCGUUGGAUUUGGGGGACGGUCGUCUUGUGGUCGCCACGCUGCCGUCCCUACUUCUCCUAGCGGUCGCCCUGCCAACCGCAAUGUCGUCGUCUGCAACUUCGACUCUGCCGUCCCUUUCUACUCAGUAGACGUCAUUUUCUCCGGACCUCUUGGACACGGAUCCUUCAGGCUCUCCUCCAGGCUCAAGCUACGCCUCGGCCGCGUGCCCCCUGGUCUCCAGACAUCGUGCGGAAAGGGGAAGAUCUCAGUUCUAUAUCCAAACAAGACUACCACCCCCAAGUCAGUUAAAGACCUUGAAUUUGAUGGUUUCUCCUUCACUACUGACCUUCGUGAGGUUUCUCCUUGACUACUGACCUUGAAUCUGCAAAACUUUAUUUUAUUGAAUCCAUUCUAUGGUUGUUAAUUUAGUUUUCACAUUGAAAUUUUGUGUAUUGUUGUUUUUUUUUUAUGUUUACAUGUGCAUAGUGUUUCCCUGUACUUAAAUUGGUUGUUCUGUUAAGAAGCUAUAUACAGAUCGUGUUUAGAAAUUCAUUGACAAAGUGCUAUGAUCCGUGAACUUAAGUCAGCUGUUCUGAAAUGUCCAUUCAUUUAAACGUAGCCUACUAAAACCGAGGUUCCUAUAAAGAUUCAUAGUAUAGGUUUUCGACUUCGUCUUCAUUUUUAAUUCUGAAUUGUUGCAUUCCCCACGGGUCUAGAGUAGUAGUUAGUUCUAUUAUGGUCUAUAUAUAUUUCUGUCUAUUGUACAUGUUCAUUUCAUGGUUGGAUUUCCAGCUCAUUUCCGAAAAGGUGGCUUAAUUGGGUUGCUUCUCAGUUUAUCUUCAGUUUUAAUUCUCGGUUUAUAUACAAUAUAUGUGAUGUUAUUUGCAAAUACUCGAGUUUAGGAUAAUAAACAAAGAUUCAAAAAAAUUCUCUCACUUGUUAUUCCCGUCCUUUUAGUAUGAAUUUUAAUAUAUAUUCACUUCAUUACCAUUACAAUCCUCACAAUGCACAAACAUUGUACUCACUUAGACGUUAUUUUUGUGAUUUUCACAUUGUAUUGUAAAUUGAUUUGUAUUAGUUUAAUUCUUCAUUUGUUGUUUUCAGAGAAUUUAUAAGAUUGUGAUCGAUAAUAUGUGUUACUUGUUUUUAUGUAAUCAUUGUGCACGAAUAAUUUGUGUGUCGUUGCAACGCACAGACACUUGACUAGUACCACUCUAUGUAUGGGUUUACACUUUACGUUUUCUUGUGCUAUGGGCCACCUAGCCAUUUCUAGGCCAGUUAUUUUCUACAGUUACUUUGCAAGGCUGCAGUCCCAUUCCACACAAUUUUUAAUGCAGUACAGUAUAGUACACUCCUUACUCCUACCAAUCAUAAGGUGAAACUCCCGCGCAUACCAAAUAUGGCAGUAACAAAUUGUCCGUAGUAGGAUUUGUCUACUGUACAAUGUACAUGUAUAGCAGCUCGUAUACGCCUUUUUUUUCUACAUGCUGUUUGUGUGCUUUAAACGGCUCUUGACCCACAAGACUACUAGCUCCCAAGAGAGCCGAGCGAAAUGCCUACCUGUCUAAACUCUCUAGAGCUCAACUCUGU